rnacentral:lncRNA from 1 species
UAUCUCUUCCUUCUUCCUCCCACCAUGAGUCCAUGAAGCCACCUCCAGAUCCGUCGCCACCGGUGGCCGAUUUCACCGCAGGUUAGUGCAAACGGACUAUCCGCGCUUCUCUGCUUAACCUUUCUCCCUUUACACACACCCCCACCCCCACCCCCUCGAAGAUCUGGUCUCUGUUUGUGCAUAAUUUAAAACCACUAACAUCGAUCGCGUCAUCGCCACCAGCUCCCUCGCGCGGCCGUGCUUGCCCCAUGUUAACCCCGGUCAAGUUUCACCCGAGUAGACGGCGAGCCACCGCGUGUGGAAGGCAGCGAGGCACGUGUACCGUGCUGCUUGUGCUCGGACGGCGCGUAGUAAAUUCUCCUGGCGCCAGACUGACAAAGAUGACGCUGCGUGGUCUUCCGAUCCCGGUGGGGACUGGGGAGAUCAGAGCCGUCCGUUGGUUGCGUCCGCGCCCAUAUAUGCCCAUGGAUGGCAGGGCUCCGCCGGCCACCCACAGUCAGAGAGCACGCCGUCUCCUCUGUCGGCUCCCCGCAAGUCUAUGGGACGCCGCAUCUGUAGGGUGUGGUUUCCUUUCUUUUCCUCGCACGGUCGAUGCGGCGUGGAGAGAGGGAGAGCUCGCAUCGGGAAGGCAAGAGGAGUUUGCGUGUGGCGGUGGGAGCAGGCCGCGCGGCCGCGGCCGCCGGGUGGUGUGACUGAUUUGACGCAGCUGCGCUGCCCUGCACCGUCCCUUUGGGGUGUGUUUGGUUACUGGAUUGGACUGGGUCGGAACGGGUUCGACCUCUUUCAUCCCACGUUUGGUUGAAAAACGAUGUGGAACGGGUUCAACCCAGAUGGGAAUAUUCCCACUUGAUCCGGGUCGAGCGGAUUCCUCCAAAAUGGACGGACCGCACGGACCCAGAUGGAUGCCAUGCGGCUCCGUCUCGCGCUCGCCCGCGCGCCUCCCUCGGUCGCCGCCGGUGCGCGGGGAGGAGCCGGCAUCGCCGGGCGGGGAAGAGGCGGUGGUGGCGGGGAGGAGCUGGCAUCGCCGGGCGGGGGAGCAGGACGGCACACGGGUGGAGGCAGGGGCGUCGCCGGGCGGAGGCAGGGGCGGCGUGCGGAGGCCGGCUGGGGAGAGGGAGGGAGGGGCAGUGGCCGGCGGCCGGCGCAGGAGGAGGGAGGGAUGAGCGGCGCGCGGCCGGCGCAGGAGAGGGAGGAUGGCCAGCGCGGCGUGGGGAGCGGGGGCGGCGAAGGGGCGGCGCGGGGAGCGGGGGCCGCGAAGGGGCGGCGCGGGGGUAGCCGGUCCGAGGAGGAGGCGGCGCAGGGGAGGUGGGGGCCGGCGGUGCAGGGAGCCGCCGGCGGGGGCCGGCGCGCCGGUGGCCGGGAAGGAGAGAGGAGGAAGGAAGAUGGAAGGGAGGGGAAAAGGAAGAAGAGGCUGACAGGUGGGCCUCACGGCUGAUAGGUGGGGCCCAUAACUAACGGUGUUAAAAGGACAUCCAUCCCAACCCUCUCAACCUCCUCAACCAAACUAAAGACUGGGUUCAAUCCAUCCCUCUCCAUCUUUUUCAUCCAAACACGAGUUGGGUUUACUCCAACCCACAAAAGUGGGUUGGCUCCGAUCCGACCCACAUCGUUCCAAAACCAAACACACCCUUGCAGUUUCGGUACGUCCCAUCCCUCCUAAUCUCUCUUCGUUGCAGUGAAUAAUUGCUCAGCGCUACUCGCUCCUCUGCAGCAGCAGCAGCAGCCGGAGCCGUACCGGAUUUGCGAGUUGGAUGCAAAACAAGCAAACGGCCCGCAUGGAUCUGGGGGCGCCGAAAGGUUCGGGGCUGAUGGUCUUUUUAUCUCCUUGGAUUCUGGGUGAGCUCAUCAGUUUCUGACUGCAGUAAAAGAUUCUCUUGCCUGUCCCUGACCCUGAGUUGGAGUGGGGAGCGCCUAUCAAGGAGUUACCCAAAAUACCAACUUUCACACUAUAAAAAACAAGAUUCCCAUCAUAUCAAACUUACGGUACAUGCAUAGAGUACUGAAUGUAGAUGAAAUUAAAAAUUAAUUGCACAGUUUGGUUGUACUUUGCGAGAAGAAUCUUUUAAGCCUAAUUAGUCAAUAUUUGGAUAAUAAUUCACAAAUACAAACGAAACGCUACAGUAUGCUACAGUACUGACGCAGUGAUUUUAGCUGUACAAAAUCUGGCAACGCCCAAGUAUCUUUUUGACUAGUGUCUCCGCGACUCUUCGAGCCUUCUGCAAAACGGCAACAAUUUGAUUCUUUUUUUUUCCGACGAAAAGCAACAAUUUGAUUCUUUUAACAGCAAAAUCACACAAAAUAGAGUAUAAUGAAAUAGAAUCUCAACAAAGUCUGAAAGUAUCAACCGAGGCCAAAGCUUAAAAAUGCACGAGUUGAGCUUAGUGAUUGAUCUACACUUUUUGCGAUAUCACUUGUACAAACAUUUUGGCUAACCGGUUCAUCAUGGUUUCGUGUAAAGUGCUAAGCAACCUGGAUGAUAUUUAUCUGUUUCUUAUUUUGAGCGAGACCAUUUGAAGUUUUGAUACUGCAUUGUAGUGUGCAGCCAGUGUUAGCCAUAUUUCUAUAGGUGCUCUGGUUCGAUGGUCAAGCUUUUGGUAUGACGUGAUUGGGCACCGAUCCUCCAAAUUAAAUUUUGACUAUUUAUCUUAUCUUAUCUUAUCUUAUUCAUAAUUAUGAAUCCUUUGCAUUAUAAAAUAAAAAUGAUAGUUAAAUUAUCGGUUAAAGAUUGUAAAAUUUAAAUCUUGAGAUGCAUGCCAUAGUGUUCAUGAAUAGUGUCUAUGAUGCCACGUAAGCAAGAUAUCAUUUUAGAAACCACACUCUCCAACCCAAGGUUUCUUAGAAACCACACUCUCCAACCUAAGGUUUCUUGGUGUAGUUUUAUAAUAAAUUCAUCAUUUCUCCUCUCUACCAAUUAUAUUAUUUCUCCUCUCUACCAAUUAUAUUUGUUCUUCAUCUAUCAUGAAGAUACUAUACUCUCCCAAUGCAAAACUCGGUGGUGUCUAGUGCAUAGGUUCUCAUGUUGAAACCGGUGUUUUAGACCGGCAACCCGCCUAGGGGUACCCUAGGUGGUCUUUUGUGUGGCGGGUGUCGUCGAGAAUCAAGGAAUCGAUGGUGGCGCAAGGAACACGAUUUAGACAGGUUCAGGCCGCUAGAUCGCGUAAUACCCUAUGUUCUAUGUAUUGAUUGUAUUGAACUUCUUAGCUGUUGUUUAGAGGGGGUCCCUACCCGCCCUUAUAUAGUUGGCGGAGCAGGGUUACAGGAUGGAGUCCUAGUCGGACAUAGUUACAGAGUUCUACUCCUAAUGGUAGAGUAGUUUCCUUGUGUAUUCCGACUAGUAUUCAGGAGUCCGUGCAGGCUACGUUACCCUGCGGUGUAGCCACCCAUAUCCUGAUCAUGUCCGAGUAUGUCCCUGAGUGGGCCAUACAAGGCCUACUCAUGAGCCUGGGGAUGUAUGCAUGACAACCAGAUCUUGCAUGAGACCCAGUUUCUUCCUCUCUUUAUUCUCUUUCUUAUUUAAUACAGUGAUACAUGAGCUAAAUGUCCUAUGUGGCAUGAUAAUUAAUGUUAUGAAAACCAUCCUAAUUGGAGGGUUAGGAUUGCUCUUACAAACAAAAGUUGAGGUUGAGAGUCUAGCAUUAAAUGGAUGUGUAGAAAAUACUUCUAAGUUCUAUAUUAGUUCUAAGUGCCAUGUCAUUUAUUGAUCAUUGAGUCGACGAAUGAAACUAGAUCUCUCAGUACAAAGUUUCACUUCACAAUUUCAUAUGUUAGCAUAUUAUUUAAAUGUUUCAUCUAAAUGACCAAUGGGAGUUGAUGAGUGUGUAGAUGAAACACAAAUCCUCUCAGUGGAGUUUCAUUCCAGUUUCAUGCUCUUGGUAACUGUGUACACAAGUUUCAUCCUCAUGAAACUCUGUUCUUCUCUUCCAUCAUAAAUUACAUGCCAUGUCAUCACUUUUACCUAUAUGGCAUGCUAUUUAAUGAGAAUAAAACUCAUAUGACACUUGCAUUGAGAAUGGCCUUAGGCCAGUUCCAAGUUUCCAUCCCUCCAAUUAGGAUGGUUUCAUGGCAUUAAGAAUCAAAUGUUAGCAUUGGAUACCGUGUCAAGUUUGACCCGCUGUCUUACAUAUUAGGAUGGAGGGAGUAGUGGGCAAAGGCAUCUCUCUCUGAAUCUCAAAUGAGUUAAUUUGAUGGACUGUCCUAGCAAAGAGCCAAAUUUUUGGCUAGGUUUUCCUCAAAAACUCUUCUUACCCAUGGAGUACUCUUCAUUUUCAGACUGCACGAAAUGUCACCUCCAAGCUCUAGCUAAUGCGGCGAGAGGAGUGAUGCACAAAUGUUGUACUAAGUUACUACCACGCGGGCACUCGUGUAAUAUACAGGAGAGAAGUCGUGGCAGAAGUCUGGCAUGCAAAGAAGGUACCCUCGGCCCGGGCAGAUGUGCACACAAGAGGGUUGGUAUAACUUGCAUCGCAUGGAGCUAUGGCAGAAACAUUUUACGUCUCAAAAAAAAAGCUGAUAAGCUCAUUCACAGGUAAGCUUUGGUCCCAACAAUAUGUUAGGCACUGUCAAAUUUGUUUUCUCUAG